UUCACGGAGGGAGCAGAUCGGGUGAAUGUGGGUCAGCCCUUCCAGUGCAGAAGGGAAGGGAACAUUAAUUUUUAGUGAGAACGAUGAGGAAAGCAGUUCUACAAUGUUUUUUACAGAAAUAGAAACCAGUGUAAUAGAAGCCGGCACUCUACUACUUUAGAAAAAGAGCAGCGCAACAGGCAGGCAAGCCCUUAGCAGUGACCGCCAAGCUCGGAAACCGGUCAGAUUUAGUUUGUUCCCCUAAAGAGGUGCAGACCCAAGCCACCAAAGGAAGGUCAUGGCUCACAGGGCACAUAGAAACAGUUCCUCCUCCGCCCUGGUCCCUGCCAACAAAGACCAAGCCAGCUGCAGGCAAUCACCAGGCAACCGGCUUCUAACCCGGCCUCCAGAAACCAACUUCCCUCCACCUGGCUGGAGCACAGGAUUUUAGCUUUUCUUAGGAUCACUUUACCAGCUGGCCAGCCAUGACCUGAGAAUAUGUGUCUCUUUCAGAAACAUGUCCGACCAACGUAAUCAGUUAAUGAAGUAACUUGGAAACCCAGACCAUGCAAAAGAGACGUGUAAAACGUGAAGAACAGAGUCAGUCAGCACUUGGGAAACACUCGACAAUGCACACCUGGUUUCCUAAGGUUUAAAAUGUAUAAUCAAAUGACACGAAAUAAUGAAGACAUCACUGGGAAAGUAUCUGACUCCCAAACCAAAUAAUGGGGCAACUUGGAAAUCCAGACCACUUGGAACAGAUUUGUUAAAGUGCCAGCGACAGGAAUCCUACCCAGAGUUGAUGUCACCCGAAAAGAUACAUGUUAGAAGGCCAGGGAGUGACUCUCACCAGAGUGAGACCAAAAGGUGGAGCAUAGGUGGAGCAUUAUGACUUAACCUAUGACACAAAUGAAAUAAUUGCAAAGAAGCCAACCCAGCUAUACUGGAUUUCAGUCCACAUCAGGGAAACAAGUAAUGGAGCCAAGUCGGCUGUCUGAGCAGCUCAUCCUGUCAUGCCUGGGAAAUCCAACAAGAGUGUGGGAUCAGUUGUUCUGGCCCCAGCCUAAAGUAAAGAAGCCCCAAAGCUACAAAAGACUAUCUGACUAUCUGUCCUGUCUUUCCUUUCCUUUCCUUUUUUUUUUUUUAUGGAUUUGUCCUUCAUUUAAAAUCUCACUUCUUUUUUUCCUCCACCUUUUAAAAAAUGUAUUCAAAAUGGCUCAUAGACUUUAAUGUAAAAUACAAAACUAUGAAACUUUUAGAAGACAACAUACAAGAAAAUCUAUGCCAUUUUCAGUUCCGCAAUAAGUUAUUUUUUUGUUUUUUGUUUGUAUGUUUUCAUAUUCCCCUUUUUUCAGUUUUAAUGAGAUAUAAUAUGCAAAUAAAAUUUAUGUAUAUCUGAGGUGUACAACUUGAUG